rnacentral:rRNA from 1 species
AGUGAACGCUGGCGGUAGGCCUAACACAUGCAAGUCGAACGGCAGCACAGUAAGAGCUUGCUCUUACGGGUGGCGAGUGGCGGAUGGGUGAGGAAUACAUCGGAAUCUACUUUUUCGUGGGGGAUAACGUAGGGAAACUUACGCUAAUACCGCAUACGACCUACGGGUGAAAGCAGGGGAUCUUCGGACCUUGCGCGAUUGAAUGAGCCGAUGUCGGAUUAGCUAGUUGGCGGGGUAAAGGCCCACCAAGGCGACGAUCCGUAGCUGGUCUGAGAGGAUGAUCAGCCACACUGGAACUGAGACACGGUCCAGACUCCUACGGGAGGCAGCAGUGGGGAAUAUUGGACAAUGGGCGCAAGCCUGAUCCAGCCAUACCGCGUGGGUGAAGAAGGCCUUCGGGUUGUAAAGCCCUUUUGUUGGGAAAGAAAAGCAGCAGGUUAAUAACCCGCUGUUCUGACGGUACCCAAAGAAUAAGCACCGGCUAACUUCGUG